rnacentral:rRNA from 1 species
GCGAUACAGGGUGACAGCCCCGUACACAAAAAUGCACAUGCUGUGAGCUCGAUGAGUAGGGCGGGACACGUGGUAUCCUGUCUGAAUAUGGGGGGACCAUCCUCCAAGGCUAAAUACUCCUGACUGACCGAUAGUGAACCAGUACCGUGAGGGAAAGGCGAAAAGAACCCCGGCGAGGGGAGUGAAAAAGAACCUGAAACCGUGUACGUACAAGCAGUGGGAGCACGCUUAGGCGUGUGACUGCGUACCUUUUGUAUAAUGGGUCAGCGACUUAUAUUCUGUAGCAAGGUUAACCGAAUAGGGGAGCCGAAGGGAAACCGAGUCUUAACUGGGCGUUAAGUUGCAGGGUAUAGACCCGAAACCCGGUGAUCUAGCCAUGGGCAGGUUGAAGGUUGGGUAACACUAACUGGAGGACCGAACCGACUAAUGUUGAAAAAUUAGCGGAUGACUUGUGGCUGGGGGUGAAAGGCCAAUCAAACCGGGAGAUAGCUGGUUCUCCCCGAAAGCUAUUUAGGUAGCGCCUCGUGAAUUCAUCUCCGGGGGUAGAGCACUGUUUCGGCAAGGGGGUCAUCCCGACUUACCAACCCGAUGCAAACUGCGAAUACCGGAGAAUGUUAUCACGGGAGACACACGGCGGGUGCUAACGUCCGUCGUGAAGAGGGAAACAACCCAGACCGCCAGCUAAGGUCCCAAAGUCAUGGUUAAGUGGGAAACGAUGUGGGAAGGCCCAGACAGCCAGGAUGUUGGCUUAGAAGCAGCCAUCAUUUAAAGAAAGCGUAAUAGCUCACUGGUCGAGUCGGCCUGCGCGGAAGAUGUAACGGGGCUAAACCAUGCACCGAAGCUGCGGCAGCGACACUAUGUGUUGUUGGGUAGGGGAGCGUUCUGUAAGCCUGUGAAGGUGUGCUGUGAGGCAUGCUGGAGGUAUCAGAAGUGCGAAUGCUGACAUAAGUAACGAUAAAGCGGGUGAAAAGCCCGCUCGCCGGAAGACCAAGGGUUCCUGUCCAACGUUAAUCGGGGCAGGGUGAGUCGACCCCUAAGGCGAGGCCGAAAGGCGUAGUCGAUGGGAAACAGGUUAAUAUUCCUGUACUUGGUGUUACUGCGAAGGGGGGACGGAGAAGGCUAUGUUGGCCGGGCGACGGUUGUCCCGGUUUAAGCGUGUAGGCUGGUUUUCCAGGCAAAUCCGGAAAAUCAAGGCUGAGGCGUGAUGACGAGGCACUACGGUGCUGAAGCAACAAAUGCCCUGCUUCCAGGAAAAGCCUCUAAGCAUCAGGUAACAUCAAAUCGUACCCCAAACCGACACAGGUGGUCAGGUAGAGAAUACCAAGGCGCUUGAGAGAACUCGGGUGAAGGAACUAGGCAAAAUGGUGCCGUAACUUCGGGAGAAGGCACGCUGAUAUGUAGGUGAAGCGACUUGCUCGUGGAGCUGAAAUCAGUCGAAGAUACCAGCUGGCUGCAACUGUUUAUUAAAAACACAGCACUGUGCAAACACGAAAGUGGACGUAUACGGUGUGACGCCUGCCCGGUGCCGGAAGGUUAAUUGAUGGGGUCAGCGCAAGCGAAGCUCUUGAUCGAAGCCCCGGUAAACGGCGGCCGUAACUAUAACGGUCCUAAGGUAGCGAAAUUCCUUGUCGGGUAAGUUCCGACCUGCACGAAUGGCGUAAUGAUGGCCAGGCUGUCUCCACCCGAGACUCAGUGAAAUUGAACUCGCUGUGAAGAUGCAGUGUACCCGCGGCAAGACGGAAAGACCCCGUGAACCUUUACUAUAGCUUGACACUGAACAUUGAGCCUUGAUGUGUAGGAUAGGUGGGAGGCUUUGAAGUGUGGACGCCAGUCUGCAUGGAGCCGACCUUGAAAUACCACCCUUUAAUGUUUGAUGUUCUAACGUUGACCCGUAAUCCGGGUUGCGGACAGUGUCUGGUGGGUAGUUUGACUGGGGCGGUCUCCUCCUAAAGAGUAACGGAGGAGCACGAAGGUUGGCUAAUCCUGGUCGGACAUCAGGAGGUUAGUGCAAUGGCAUAAGCCAGCUUGACUGCGAGCGUGACGGCGCGAGCAGGUGCGAAAGCAGGUCAUAGUGAUCCGGUGGUUCUGAAUGGAAGGGCCAUCGCUCAACGGAUAAAAGGUACUCCGGGGAUAACAGGCUGAUACCGCCCAAGAGUUCAUAUCGACGGCGGUGUUUGGCACCUCGAUGUCGGCUCAUCACAUCCUGGGGCUGAAGUAGGUCCCAAGGGUAUGGCUGUUCGCCAUUUAAAGUGGUACGCGAGCUGGGUUUAGAACGUCGUGAGACAGUUCGGUCCCUAUCUGCCGUGGGCGCUGGAGAACUGAGGGGGGCUGCUCCUAGUACGAGAGGACCGGAGUGGACGCAUCACUGGUGUUCGGGUUGUCAUGCCAAUGGCACUGCCCGGUAGCUAAAUGCGGAAGAGAUAAGUGCUGAAAGCAUCUAAGCACGAAACUUGCCCCGAGAUGAGUUCUCCCUGAC